CACAUUAGCUAGAUAAGAGGAAGCUUAUGGGUAUACUAGUGAGGGACAACAUCUCAAUUGAUAUGAGGUUUUCUGGGUGAUACCAAAAGUCAGACCAUGAGGGCUUAUGCCCAAAGUGGACAUAUCAUACAAAUUAGAGAUGUGGAGGGUGGUUCCUUGUCCUUAACAAGUGGGUACCAUAACUUUGUUCCGAACUUAGCUAUGUGAGUAGAAUCCUCAGGUGUUGAACAUAGUGGCGAGCCUAUAGGGAAGGUUAUUGGUAUACAAGUGAGGGACAACAUCUCUAUUGAUUUGAGGCAUUUUGGGUGAUACCAAAAGUCAAACCAUGAGGGAUUAUGCCUAAAGGGGACAAUAUCAUACCAAUUAGAGAUGUGGAGGGUGGUUUCUCGUCCUAAAUAAGUGGUAUAAGAGGUUUGUUCCUAAUUUAGGUAUACAAGUAUGGGACAUCAUCUCAAUUGAUUUGAGGCUUUUUGGGUGAUACCAAAUGUCAAACCACGAGGGCUUAUGCCCAAAGUGGAAAUAUCGUUCCAACUAGAGAUUUGUGUCACAUUAGCUAGAUAAGGGAAAAGUUAUAGGUAUACAGGUGAGUGACAACAUCUUUAUUGAUUUUUUAGGCAUUUUGGAUGAUACCAAAAAUCAAACCACAUGAAGGCUUAUGCCCAAAGUGGAAAAUAUCAUAAUAGCUAGAGAUGUGUCACUCACAUUAGAUAGAUAAGGGGAAGGUUACGCGUAUACUAGUUAAGGACAACAUCUCUAUUGAUUGUUGAGGCAUUUUGGGUGAUACCAAAAGUCAAACCAUGAGGGUUUAUGCCCAAAGUGGACAAUAUCAUUCCAACUAGAGAUGUGUGUCACAUUAGCUAGAUAAGGGGAAGGUUAUGGGUAUACAAGUGAGGGACAACAUCUCUAUUGAUUUUUGAGGAAUUUUGGGUGAUACGAAAAGUCAAACCAUGAGAGCUUAUGCCCAGAGUGGUUUUCGAACUCCUGUAUGUAUGUAUGUAUAUAUAUUUAUAUAUUUUAGAGCCACUUAUAUAUUUGAUAUUAAUUAUCCCUCAUUGGACUUUUGACAAAUUUUCAAACUCAUAAGUUAAGGUGGGUGUUAAGGGUAUCUAUACAAAAUUAAAGGGUAAACUACAAAAACUGUUCCUAAAUUUAUUUUUUCGUUUGAACCAUCAUGGGAUGGCUCAAGUGGUCAAUGAGGUCCUUUGUAAAUAGUAAAGGACUUAGAGGGAAUGAGUUCAAACCAUGGUGGCUACUUACCUAGGAUUUAAUAUCCUACGAGUUACCUUGUCAACCAAAUGUAGUAGGGUCAGGCGGGUCAUUUGAAAAGUUUCAAUACUACUCUUGACCUUUCAUAAAACAUCUGUUUUUAUUUUUAACGUGGAAGAAUAUGAAAUGAGUGAUAAUUAAUGUGGAAACUUGCCUAGAUUAAGUCUGAAAAAAGAGCAAACGUGGAAGAAAUUAUAUUACUUUUAGGAGGAGCUUAUGCCCAAACUACAAUCGACGAUUGUAGUGGUUCAGGUUCUCGCCUAAUCUUAGAGACUGCUAGUUUAGUUAUCGAUUUCUUUUUUAAUUAUAGUAGUUUUUUAAUUCUUCUUCUCAAUCCAGCGUUGUGUUUCCUUCGAUUGUUACACUGUACAGGGUGCUACUAGUGAUUUUGUCAAGUAUAUCAACUUUUGACUUCUGACGAUCAUGUCUACUAUAAUUGGGAUGUUCACAGUUUUUCCAUUUUGUGCUUUCAUGGUGUUGGUGAGUCUUGAGUAGCUUGGAAGAUGAGAUGGUUAUACAUUAUUAUACUCUCCUUUCCGUUUGAAUGUAUAUGUGGACUUGCCGAUGGGACUCAGUGGAGCCGACCGGGAAGAUUUAUACGGUUUUCACUUCUCAGAUUUAUACGAGAAAGCCAUUGCGCGCCUUGCGUUUUCUUCCAAAAAUCCUCAACUUGAAUUUAUCCGCAUACUCGUUCAUCCCCGCUGGGGGAAUGGGAUUUGCCCAUAAGCUACAAGGACGAGGUGGUGAUUACCCGAGGUGAGGUUAACCUUUCUGCGGUAGUUUGAAUGGGGCAUCCCUUUCAUUACUUCUUUCACGACGACAAAGCUGGCUCGAGCUGCAGUAACUUUUGCUAAAAUAAUGAAGGAACAGCUUUGUUGGGAUGUUGGAUGGCGGUCGGCUCCCUCCAUGGACGGAACUUUUUUUUAGGUUUUAGGGAGGCACUACUUAGCACUAACAAAAACGGCAAAAAAAAAAAAGGAAAGAAUAGAAUAGAAUGAGAUAUUUAAAACAUGCAGGCUAUGCCAUGCUCCAUGGACUUGAUAGAAGGUUGGUGCGCAUAUUUUAGGCAUAGUUGUUGGAGAAGUAACUAAUGCGUGAAAAUUAUAUAAAUGUAGGACUCCGUCAAGUUUUCAUUGACAGCCAGUUCAGUUUUUGGUUGGUUCGAUUUUGAUUUCACGAGUCUUACAAUUUAUAAUAUCAGUAGGCUAUCUAUAGUUGGCGGUUUACUUUGGUAAGAAAGAAAAAGAGAGAACUAAUGGAAUUUUGGACUACUAGACGUGUAAGG